rnacentral:rRNA from 1 species
UGGGGAAUCUUGCACAAUGGGCGCAAGCCUGAUGCAGCAACGCCGCGUGCGGGAAGACGGCCCUAGGGUUGUAAACCGCUUUCAGGAGGGAAGAAAAUGACGGUACCUCCAGAAGAAGGUGCGGCCAACUACGUGCCAGCAGCCGCGGUGACACGUAGGCACCAAGCGUUAUCCGGAUUUAUUGGGCGUAAAGAGCUCGUAGGCGGUUCGGUAAGUCGGGUGUGAAAUCCAAGGCUCAACCUUGGACGCCACCCGAUACUGCUGUGACUCGAGUGCAGUAGGGGAGCAGGGAAUUCCUGGUGUAGCGGUGAAAUGCGCAGAUAGUCAGGAGGAACACCAGUGGCGAAGGCGCUGCUCUGGGCUGUAACUGACGCUGAGGAGCGAAAG